UGAGUAACCUGCCCUUCUCAUCGGAAUAAGCGUUGGAAACGACGUCUAAUGCCGAAUACGACUUCGGAAGGCAUCUUCUGAAGUGGAAAGCUCCGGCGGAGAAGGAUGGGCUCGCGGCCUAUCAGCUUGUUGGUGGGGUAAUGGCCCACCAAGGCGACGACGGGUAGCCGGCCUGAGAGGGUGACCGGCCACACUGGGACUGAGACACGGCCCAGACUCCUACGGGAGGCAG
rnacentral:rRNA from 1 species